AUUGAACGCUGGCGGCAGGCUUAACACAUGCAAGUCGAGCGGGGUGAUGGUGCUUGCACUAUCACUUAGCGGCGGACGGGUGAGUAAUGCUUAGGAAUCUGCCUAUUAGUGGGGGACAACAUCUCGAAAGGGAUGCUAAUACCGCAUACGUCCUACGGGAGAAAGCAGGGGAUCACUUGUGACCUUGCGCUAAUAGAUGAGCCUAAGCCGGAUUAGCUAGUUGGUGGGGUAAAGGCCUACCAAGGCGACGAUCUGUAGCGGGUCUGAGAGGAUGAUCCGCCACACUGGGACUGAGACACGGCCCAGACUCCUACGGGAGGCAGCAGUGGGGAAUAUUGGACAAUGGGGGGAACCCUGAUCCAGCCAUGCCGCGUGUGUGAAGAAGGCCUUAUGGUUGUAAAGCACUUUAAGCGAGGAGGAGGCUCUUUUGGUUAAUACCCAAGAUGAGUGGACGUUACUCGCAGAAUAAGCACCGGCUAACUCCGUGCCAGCCGCCGCAGUAA
rnacentral:rRNA from 1 species